rnacentral:rRNA from 1 species
UUUAUUAUGAGAGUUUGAUCCUGGCUCAGGACGAACGCUGGCGGCGUGCCUAAUACAUGCAAGUCGAACGCUUCUUUCCUCCCGAGUGCUUGCACUCAAUUGGAAAGAGGAGUGGCGGACGGGUGAGUAACACGUGGGUAACCUACCCAUCAGAGGGGGAUAACACUUGGAAACAGGUGCUAA